ensembl:lincRNA C530043A13Rik RIKEN cDNA C530043A13 gene
CUCUGAAUCUAUGGGGACUAUUGCUAUCCAAACCACCACAUUAGGGGAGAUUAAAAUAUUUGCAUGGAAGUUUUAUGAGGUAGUGAAGAUUAAAAGUGGAAGAAAUUCAUCUGAUGCUCUCUGCAGGCAAGCUACCCUUCAAACAAACAAAACCGAAAACAUUUCUUACAGGAAGAUGAUCAACAUAGACCAAGAAUGAAUGAACGAGGUGCAGUGAGACCCGUUUCUCUAUAAGCUCAUUAUAAAAACCAAUAAAAGGAAAAUUCUUACAUAUACUAAUUGCCAAGAGUUCAAAUUCACUGUUUUUUAUGUGGAGAUCCAGAUAUCUCUCUGCUCAGAAGUGGAUUUUUUUCUCCUCCUGAAUUAGCUUUGCACCUUUGUUGCAGGAAAUUAAUGAUAAAGGCAUGGGCUUCCUUCUGAGUCUCAAUGUUAUCCUGUUGAUCUCUGGUUCUGUCUUUACAUGAGCACUAUGGUGUUCUAUUAUUAUAAAUUUUAGGAAAUUCUGAAACUGGGGAGUCUGGGCUCUCAAAAAUACUCAUAAUUUUUAUGAUUUAGUUUUGCCUGAGACUUAUGCAUUUCUACUUGAGUUUAAGCAUCAUCUGACAUCCUGAUAAUUUUGCAUGUAUACAUGCAGCUAAGGAGUAUGGUCUUCUGAUGUAUGAACAUCCAUGAUCAUUCUUCUCUCUUAGAUCUUAAAGUUGUCUCAGUGACACACUAGCGUGGUCUUCUACUCCUUUUGUUAUCUGCAUUUCUAAGCAUUUCUAAGUGUUUAUCUUUACUUUGGUCUUUCAUUCUUUGCAAUAAAUUAUAAGAGACAUUAAUAUCCUAAUUCAAAGUUGAUUUCAGAAAUUUCACGGACAUUUCUUUCUCUUGCCUAUUGUCCUGGCUAGCCCUUCCAUCACAAUGCUGACUAGAAGUUAGAAGAAUGACAUUCUUGUCUUGAUACUGACCUUAUAGAAAAGAACUUCAGCCUUUUAUCAUUAAGUUAUCAUAACAUAUGACCUUGUGGGUUUGUCAUAAAUGGCUUUCUCAGGUUGUGGAAAAACAUUAUUUUCUACUCCCAUUUGUUUGUGAUGACUUAAGGGUGCUGAAUUUUUUUCAGUUUUAUUUUUUUCAUGUACAAGCUACUCUUUUAUUUUACAGUAUGGCACAUUUAAAUUAACCUUUAGUUUCUAAGAUAAGUACCAAUAAAUUUGGUGCAUACUCCCUUUACACAGUUUAAUGUGCUGGUGUCUGGUAGUACUUUUCUAAGUAUUUUUGUUCCUAUCUUUUUUUUUAUAGGAGUUGUUGGCCUGUCCUUUACUUAUGAUGGCUUUGUGUAUGGGGUCCCAAUAACUCGGGCCCCCUAUAAUAAACUGAGAAUCAUUCUUUGUUCUUGUCCUCUUUUGAGAAAUAUUUCUGAAGAUUGAUGUUAAUUUUUUUUCUUUAAAUGCUUUGUAAGUUUCAAACUAACCAAUUUAGCUGUAUUCUGUGUCACUGGUUUAUUUGUUAUUUCUGCAUCUCUUGAUUUACAAUUUGUGUUUUUCUGUAUACCAAUACAGAUCUUUUUACUUAUGUAAUGUUAAUUGCGUGGUGGAGCUGUAGGAAAUGAGACAAGAGGUAAGAAUUAAAACAAAAGAGUCUUCAUCCACGCUAAGGAGGCUGCUUUUGCUCGGAGGUGACACAGUGGGCAGACAAGUCAUUUCCUUAACUGGGACCUCAGCGAAUUGAAAUGUCUCUCUGCUUCCUCAUAGGGCAGCUGUGAGAAGAAAGAUGAAAUAUGGGACAGAAAAUCCCAGGUCAAGUUGGAGGUCAGUUUUCAGGAUCCAAGAUUUGGCCUGAAUUGUUGUUUUCAAAUCCUUAUCUGUUGACAGAAACCUGAGGAAGGAAGGCAUAGAGACUCAAUAGAAGGUUCAGCCUUGUAUCUCAAGAAAGGUUUAUUUUUUUCCAAAAAGAUACUUGGGAACUGAACAUGAAUAUGGAACACAGUCCAUGUUCAUAAAGGCCAUCAGCCCUCCAGAAGAGAGGAUGGAGCUGGAGAGAAGAGAUAGGAUUCCAUGAAGAGGAUCCAGUAGUUGGCUGGACCACACAACCCUGUUUCAGGAGGCAGUGGGAAGUUACUCUGUCUUCAAGACAUUGAAAGGGCUUGAGUCCAUCCUUCCUUCCUUGCUUCCUUGCUUCCUUGCUUCCUUCCUUCCUUCCUUCCUUGCUUCCUUCCUUCCUUCCUCCCUCCCUCCCUCCCUCCCUCCCUCCCCCUCUCUCUCUUUCUUUCUUUCCUUAUUUUUUUCAUCUAUAACCUUAAUCCAGGGAGCUGCACAAUAUGCUCUUCAGUUUCCUUUCUUCCUUUAUUUUCAAUCAGUAGCAGAAGCUCUUGAGAGAAGCAUUGUCUAAACAUAAGGGUACAAUUAAGAGAAAUGUGUUCCUUUCCUUAGGAAAACUUCCGUGAUGCAUGGACACUUCUCAAGCUCUUACUCAGCAAGUUCAAGUGCUGCCUCUUUAAAGAAGAUUCAUUUCCCCAGAGCUGAGGCAGGGGGUUGAUGCUGGGGUCUGGUAAGCCUCUAAGUGUGAGAGAUAUGGCAUUUUUAUGGACAAAGAGACCUUACAGGACCAGCACUUCUCUUUCCCAAGAGGGUUGUGCUUUCUGUAGUUUUAGAACAUAGUCCCCCUGUAGUUGCCUGGGACCUUCCUCCCAGGUAGGAGCUCACUUAAAUCUAAUCUAACCUGAACUAUAGCUAUCAGGCUGAGGAGCACGAUCUUUUAAAAAUGUAUAUUUCUUAUUAUAACCACUUUAACUCUACAAAUUAAUGUGAUUGAUUAUAUUCAUCAACAAAUGCUUCUUUAAUAA